CUGCGAGGCGCGGAAGCCGGUGAGAGCCCGGCGCGGUCGCGCCACUGUAAUCGGCAUUGCAAGCCGAAAGCCAGACCUGAGCUUCGCAG
rnacentral:sRNA from 21 species